UUAUCAUCUUAUCUUUUUAGUGGCAGGUCGGUAAUGGACAAAGUUCAACUGCCAUUUCAACAGCAAGCAGCAUAACUUCUACUCCAUCCAGCCCCACAGUCACUAGUGCUGCAGGAUGUGAUGGGAAGACAUACGGUCCUCCUGUGAUAGAUUUGUGUUCUCCAGUGGGUAGUUCCUACAAUCUACCAUCUCUUCCUGAUAUUGAUUGUUCGGGAAACAUCACACUGGAUACUGUUGCGAGGAAAGAUGAUGUCACUGCAGAGCAGAAUCACCCAAAACCCCCUUCAAACAGAACUGUGCAGUCACCAAAUUCAUCGGUACCAUCACCAGGCAUUUCAGGAGGUGUCAGUGUAACAAGCAUACACCCUCCAAUACGUUCACCCAGUGCCUCCAGUGUUGGGAGCAGAGAGAGUUCUAGCUCUUCCAGCCGGCCGCCGGGAGCUGAUUCUACACACAAAGUCCCAGUUGUUAUGUUGGAGCCUAUCAGAAUUAAACAGGAGUCAAGUACACCAAAUGAGAACUUUGAUUUCCCAAUUGUUAUUGUGAAGCAAGAAGCAGAGGAGGAAUCCCGGCCUCGAAAUGUAAUAAAAAUCUCCUUU